GUCGCGGGGCGGGAGGAGACGAAUACUUAGCUAGGGAUUCGCCGCAGAGGAGCGGAAGUUGGCCGCCGGCGUGCUUGAAUUGUGUAGAGGGAGAGGAGGAGCGUUUGCCGCCUUGGCCUCUGUCAGCAGCAGACCCAGGUCCCACUGCAGAAGGCAGGCACUUGGACCCCUUCCCUGACCUCACCUUCUUCUGUAAGGCGCAGUGAAAGACAAAGAUGAAGACCCCCUGGAAGGCGUUGAAAGUGGUAAAGAGAUAGGCCAUGACUACUGACUCCUUAUUGAUGAAGAGCAGGCCGAACGCCCAGGUGGCACGCUCACUUCCUCAUGCUCUGGGAGGCUUGUGGAGAGAUGACAAAGGUGACACCAACUUGCUUCUCCAGAGUGCCUUGGGAGAAGGUGGGACCAUGACCAGAAAGAACCAGACAUGUGGCCUCCUGCCCCAGGCAAGACUGGUGCCACCCCCCAAUGCCCACGAAGCUGGUCUUCCCUGGCACUGCCCAUGCAGCGCUCUCUAGGAUGCCAUGCAAAGCCAGGCCAGCAAGUGGGCCUGCCCAGAGGAGUAGAGCGCCGGCCAGCUUACGAUCUCG